rnacentral:rRNA from 1 species
UACGUAGGCAGCAAGCGUUGUUCGGAGUUACUGGGCGUAAAGGGUGCGUAGGCGGCUUUUUAAGUCUGGUGUGAAACUCUCCCGGCUCAACGUGGGAGGGUGCGCCGGAUACUGAGGGGCUAGAGUGUGGGAGAGGAAAGUGGAAUUCCUGGUGUAGCGGUGAAAUGCGUAGAUAUCAGGAGGAACACCGGUGGUGUAAACGGCUUUCUGGACCAUAACUGACGCUGGAGGCACGAAAGCGUGGGUAGCAAACAGG